AGAGUUUGAUCAUGGCUCAGGACGAACGCUGGCGGCGCGCCUAACACAUGCAAGUCGAGCGAGAACCAGGGCUUCGGCCCUGGGGACAGCGGCGAACGGGUGAGUAACACGUGGGUAACCUGCCCUCGGCACCGGGAUAGCCCGGGGAAACCCGGAUUAAUACCGGACGGCCUCACGAGCUCUCGGGCUCGUGAGAAAAGGUGGCUUCGGCUUCCGGCUGAGGAUGGGCCCGCGGCCGAUUAGCUUGUUGGUGGGGUAACGGCUCACCAAGGCGACGAUCGGUAGCUGGUCUGAGAGGACGAUCAGCCACACUGGGACUGAGACACGGCCCAGACUCCUACGGGAGGCAGCAGUGGGGAAUCUUGCGCAAUGGACGAAAGCCUGACGCAGCGACGCCGCGUGCGGGAAGAAGGCCUUCGGGUUGUAAACCGCUUUCAGGAGGGACGAAGCCACUCGGGUGAAUAGCCCAGAGGGUGACGGUACCUCCAGAAGAAGCCCCGGCUAACUACGUGCCAGCAGCCGCGGUAAUACGUAGGGGGCUAGCGUUGUCCGGAUUUAUUGGGCGUAAAGCGCGUGUAGGCGGCCAGAUAGGUCUGCUGUGAAAACUCGAGGCUCAACCUCGAGCUGUCGGCGGAAACCAUCUGGCUAGAGUCCGGAAGAGGAGAGUGGAAUUCCCGGUGUAGCGGUGAAAUGCGCAGAUAU
rnacentral:rRNA from 1 species